rnacentral:rRNA from 1 species
UGGAUCCAGACUUUGAUUAUGGCUCAGGAUGAACGCUAGCUACAGGCUUAACACAUGCAAGUCGAGGGGCAGCAUUCCAGUUUGCUUGCAAACUGGAGAUGGCGACCGGCGCACGGGUGAGUAACACGUAUCCAACCUGCCGAUAACUCGGGGAUAGCCUUUCGAAAGAAAGAUUAAUACCCGAUGGCAUAAUAGAACCGCAUGGUUUGAUUAUUAAAGAAUUUCGGUUAUCGAUGGGGAUGCGUUCCAUUAGGCAGUUGGUGGGGUAACGGCCCACCAAACCUUCGAUGGAUAGGGGUUCUGAGAGGAAGGUCCCCCACAUUGGAACUGAGACACGGUCCAAACUCCUACGGGAGGCAGCAGUGAGGAAUAUUGGUCAAUGGACGAGAGUCUGAACCAGCCAAGUAGCGUGAAGGAUGACUGCCCUAUGGGUUGUAAACUUCUUUUAUAUGGGAAUAAAGUGGUCCACGUGUGGAUUUUUGUAUGUACCAUAUGAAUAAGGAUCGGCUAACUCCGUGCCAGCAGCCGCGGUAAUACGGAGGAUCCGAGCGUUAUCCGGAUUUAUUGGGUUUAAAGGGAGCGUAGGUGGACAGUUAAGUCAGUUGUGAAAGUUUGCGGCUCAACCGUAAAAUUGCAGUUGAUACUGGCUGUCUUGAGUACAGUAGAGGUGGGCGGAAUUCGUGGUGUAGCGGUGAAAUGCUUAGAUAUCACGAGGAACUCCGAUUGCGAAGGCAGCUCACUGGACUGCAACUGACACUGAUGCUCGAAAGUGUGGGUAUCAAACAGGAUUAGAUACCCUGGUGGUCCACACAGUAAACGAUGAAUACUCGCUGUUUGCGAUAUACAGUAAGCGGCCAAGCGAAAGCAUUAAGUAUUCCACCUGGGGAGUACGCCGGCAACGGUGCAACUCAAAUGAAUUGACGGA